rnacentral:rRNA from 1 species
GUGAGGAAUAUUGCGCAAUGGAGGCAACUCUGACGCAGCCAUGCCGCGUGCAGGAAGAAGGCGCUACGCGUUGUAAACUGCUUUUAACCGGGAAGAAACCCCAGGACGUGUCCUGGGUUGACGGUACCGGAGGAAUAAGCACCGGCUAACUUCGUGCCAGCAGCCGCGGUAAUACGAAGGGUGCAAGCGUUAUCCGGAUUCAUUGGGUUUAAAGGGUGCGUAGGCGGAGCGUUAAGUCAGUGGUGAAAUCCUGCAGCUUAACUGUAGACUUGCCAUUGAUACUGGCGCUCUUGAGUGCGCUUGAAGUGGGCGGAAUGUGCCGUGUAGCGGUGAAAUGCUUAGGUAUGGCACAGAACACCAAUUGCGAAGGCAGCUCACUAAGGCGAUACUGACGCUGAGGCACGAAAGCGUGGGGAUCGAACAGGAUUAGAAACCCGAGUAGUCC